rnacentral:rRNA from 1 species
UACGUAGGGGGCUAGCGUUGUCCGGAUUUAUUGGGCGUAAAGGGUGCGUAGGCGGUUGGGUAAGUCUGUCGUGAAAUCUCCGAGCCUAACUCGGAAACUGCGUCGGAUACUAUUCAACUCGAGGAAUGGAGGGGAGACUGGAAUUCUCGGUGUAGCAGUGAAAUGCGUAGAUAUCGAGAGGAACACCAGUGGCGAAGGCGAGUCUCUGGACAUUUCCUGACGCUGAGGCACGAAAGCCAGGGGAGCAAACGGG